rnacentral:tRNA from 1 species
GGUGGCUCAGUGGUAGAGUGCUUGCCUUGCAUGCAUGAGGCCCUGGGUUCUAUUCUAAGGCACCA